ensembl:lincRNA 4930516B21Rik RIKEN cDNA 4930516B21 gene
AGAGUCCAGCAGGGGAGGCACGCCUACCUCCAUCCCUGGUCCUGGCCAGUUAAUGGAUGGGUUAAGUGUCCUAGCUUGUCAAUUUAAUGGUGUGUGUGUACUGUCCUCUGAAGAAAUUGUCUUUAGUCCCAUUUAAUAACAAGCAAGAUGGUUCAUCAGUAAGGGUGCUUGCCACCAAAACUGACACUUGAAUUCAGUCCCUGGAACCUACUUGGUAGAAGAGGACUGACUCCUGAAAGCUGUCCUCUCACCGUCACAGGCAUGGGCUUGCCAUCCUACAUGCACAGGAAAAAGGAGCAAAGAGCCACGCAAUGAAUGAGCUAUGGUACAGUGUUCUCUCCAAAAUGUCUGCAGUUUGCAACUGUAGUUACAGCUCUUCUUCACAGGAAUCGACAUCAAACUCGACGCAAGUUAACUUUACAGUACUGAAUAAUGCGACUCAGAUUCGAGGACAAAUGUGCAGAGAUGGUAACGUGUGAAAACUGUGGCCUCUGACGCCAUCACAGGGAUGACGUCAGGUUCGUAAGCAGAUUCUCCCGUACAGUUGAAACGGCAUCGUGUGCAUCCGUGGCAUGAACUGAAGUCUAGAAGCGUUGUCUCUCAUCUGUGGUACCCUCCCUGCGGUUCUCCAGUACCACUCAGUUUCCUUUGCAGUUACAGAAUUCAGGGGGUAGGUGGGGGGACGUGGGAAAGCAAGCCACUGGCAUUUUAACAACUGCACCCCUGCUGGUGGACCUAGCUUUUCAGAUGAGAUCUCCUGCCCGCACGUGACAACUGCUUGCUCCCAGACGGCCUAGGCAACUAGUCUUUCCUACUCUGGUCUCUUUUGAAGCAGGUACAAUUUCCGUGAUAGUGCUUUUCCCAGUGGAGAAAUUAUUUGGCUAAACUCAUACACUCAACUCGUGGCAGUGCUCUGGGAAAACCCCACUGGGGCUAAAGCACUUACAAGGACUAAGGACUAAGUCCGCUAAGUGAGGCAGAGACCAAACACCCAGAGGGCUGAGUUGAAACCCACCGGGAACACGCUGGCCCUGGUGUCCCACGGUCAGCAGGACAGCAGGACAGCCCAGGGCAGGCAACUCAUAGCUGAGUUGCCACUUUUAGUCUCUGCCUGCCGUCAAUGCCCCAGAGACAAAAAUUCAGAUGUGGUGACAGCUGGUUAAUUAAGCUUUUGAACUGGUAAAAAAGGCUCUUU